rnacentral:rRNA from 1 species
GAUAAGCGCCGGUAAGGUGAUAUGAACCGUUAUAACCGGCGAUACCCGAAUGGGGAAACCCAGUGUGACUCGUCACACUAUCAUUAACUGAAUCCAUAGGUUAAUGAGGCGAACCGGGGGAACUGAAACAUCUAAGUACCCCGAGGAAAAGAAAUCAACCGAGAUUCCCCCAGUAGCGGCGAGCGAACGGGGAGGAGCCCAGAGCCUGAAUCAGCAUGUGUGUUAGUGGAAGCGUCUGGAAAGGCGCGCGAUACAGGGUGACAGCCCCGUACACAAAAGCGCAUGUGCUGUGAGCUCGAUGAGUAGGGCGGGACACGUGGUAUCCUGUCUGAAUAUGGGGGGACCAUCCUCCAAGGCUAAAUACUCCUGACUGACCGAUAGUGAACCAGUACCGUGAGGGAAAGGCGAAAAGAACCCCGGCGAGGGGAGUGAAAAAGAACCUGAAACCGUGUACGUACAAGCAGUGGGAGCACCCUUUGGGUGUGACUGCGUACCUUUUGUAUAAUGGGUCAGCGACUUAUAUUCUGUAGCAAGGUUAACCGAAUAGGGGAGCCGGAGGGAAACCGAGUCUUAACCGGGCGUUAAGUUGCAGGGUAUAGACCCGAAACCCGGUGAUCUAGCCAUGGGCAGGUUGAAGGUUGGGUAACACUAACUGGAGGACCGAACCGACUAAUGUUGAAAAAUUAGCGGAUGACCUGUGGCUGGGGGUGAAAGGCCAAUCAAACCGGGAGAUAGCUGGUUCUCCCCGAAAGCUAUUUAGGUAGCGCCUCGUGAAUUCAUCUCCGGGGGUAGAGCACUGUUUCGGCUAGGGGGCCAUCCCGGCUUACCAACCCGAUGCAAACUGCGAAUACCGGAGAAUGUUAUCACGGGAGACACACGGCGGGUGCUAACGUCCGUCGUGAAGAGGGAAACAACCCAGACCGCCAGCUAAGGUCCCAAAGUCAUGGUUAAGUGGGAAACGAUGUGGGAAGGCCCAGACAGCCAGGAUGUUGGCUUAGAAGCAGCCAUCAUUUAAAGAAAGCGUAAUAGCUCACUGGUCGAGUCGGCCUGCGCGGAAGAUGUAACGGGGCUAAACCAUGCACCGAAGCUGCGGCAGCGACACUGUGUGUUGUUGGGUA